rnacentral:rRNA from 1 species
UACGUAGGUGGCGAGCGUUGUCCGGAAUUACUGGGUGUAAAGGGUGCGCAGGCGGGGUGUCAAGUUGGAUGUGAAAUCCCCAGGCUUAACUUGGGGUGUGCAUUCAAAACUGGCGCUCUUGAGUGAGGCAGAGGCAGGCGGAAUUCCCGGUGUAGCGGUGAAAUGCGUAGAGAUCGGGAGGAACACCAGUGGCGAAGGCGGCCUGCUGGGCCUUAACUGACGCUGAGGCACGAAAGCAUGGGUAG